rnacentral:rRNA from 1 species
GAUGAACGCUGGCGGCGUGCCUAAUACAUGCAAGUCGAGCGAAUGGAUUAAGAGCUUGCUCUUAUGAAGUUAGCGGCGGACGGGUGAGUAACACGUGGGUAACCUGCCCAUAAGACUGGGAUAACUCCGGGAAACCGGGGCUAAUACCGGAUAACAUUUUGAACCGCAUGGUUCGAAAUUGAAAGGCGGCUUCGGCUGUCACUUAUGGAUGGACCCGCGUCGCAUUAGCUAGUUGGUGAGGUAACGGCUCACCAAGGCAACGAUGCGUAGCCGACCUGAGAGGGUGAUCGGCCACACUGGGACUGAGACGCGGCCCAGACUCCUACGGGAGGCAGCAGUAGGGAAUCUUCCGCAAUGGACGAAAGUCUGACGGAGCAACGCCGCGUGAGUGAUGAAGGCUUUCGGGUCGUAAAACUCUGCUGUUAGGGAAGAACAAGUGCUAGUUGAAUAAGCUGGCACCUUGACGGCACCUAACCAGAAAGCCACGGCUAACUACGUGCCAGCCGCCGCCGUAA